rnacentral:rRNA from 1 species
AGAGCGAACGCUGGCGGCAUGCUUAACACAUGCAAGUCGCACGGGCAGGGGCAACCCUGUCAGUGGCGGACGGGUGAGUAACGCGUAGGUAUCUAUCCUUGGGUGGGGGACAACUGUGGGAAACUACAGCUAAUACCGCAUGAUAACUGAGGUUUAAAGGCGCAAGUCGCCUGGGGAGGAGCCUGCGUACGAUUAGCUUGUUGGUGGGGUAAAGGCCUACCAAGGCGACGAUCGUUAGCUGGUCUGAGAGGAUGAUCAGCCACAUUGGGACUGAGACACGGCCCAAACUCCUACGGGAGGCAGCAGUGGGGAAUAUUGGACAAUGGGCGCAAGCCUGAUCCAGCAAUGCCGCGUGUGUGAAGAAGGUCUUCGGAUUGUAAAGCACUUUCGACGGGGACGAUAAUGACGGUACCCGUAGAAGAAGCCCCGGCUAACUUCGUGCCAGCAGCCGC